rnacentral:rRNA from 1 species
AGAUUGAACGCUGGCGGCAGGCCUAACACAUGCAAGUCGAGCGGCAGCACGGGUACUUGUACCUGGUGGCGAGCGGCGGACGGGUGAGUAAUGCCUAGGAAUCUGCCUGGUAGUGGGGGAUAACGCUCGGAAACGGACGCUAAUACCGCAUACGUCCUACGGGAGAAAGCAGGGGACCUUCGGGCCUUGCGCUAUCAGAUGAGCCUAGGUCGGAUUAGCUAGUUGGUGGGUAAUGGCUCACCAAGGCGACGAUCCGUAACUGGUCUGAGAGGAUGAUCAGUCACACUGGAACUGAGACACGGUCCAGACUCCGUACGGGAGGCAGCAGUGGGGAAUAUUGGACAAUGGGACGAAAGCCUGAUCCAGCCAUGCCGCGUGUGUGAAGAAGUCUUCGGAUUGUAAAGCAACGUUUUAAGUUGGGAGGAAGGCUAAGUUACCUAAUACGUAUCUUGUUUAGACGUUACACAGAAUAGCACCGCUAACUCU